rnacentral:rRNA from 1 species
GGGGGGAGCAAGCGUUGUUCGGAAUCACUGGGCGUAAAGGGCGUGUAGGCGGUCAAGUAAGUGGAAUGUGAAAUGCCCCGGCUCACCCGGGGACCUGCAUCCCAAACUGCUUGGCUUGAGUAUGGGAGAGGAUGAGGGAAUUCCUGGUGUAGCGGUGAAAUGCGUAGAUAUCAGGAGGAACACCGGUGGCGAAAGCGCUCAUCUGGCCCAAUACUGACGCUGAGGCGCGAAAGCUAGGGGAGCAAACGGGAUUAGAUACCCCGGUAGUCCUAGCCGUAAACGGUGAUCACUAGGUGUUGGAGGCAUCGACCCCUCCAGUGCCGCAGCUAACGCAUUAAGUGAUCCGCCUGGGGAGUACGGCCGCAAGGUUGAA